ACGUGCAUCUUUGGCUUCCACACUAAUGUGUUAUCAAUACUAUUCUGGCAUUGGCCAAAGGUGAAAUAAAAAUUUUACCCAUUGAAAGAAAAAGAUGCGCAAAAAGUAUUUCAAAAAUUGCUUCAAAUUUCAGUGAGUGUUCCAAAAGUGACAAGCAAAUUGCAUCAGCUCUUGCAGUGCGACAACUCAAAACGACUUAAGCUUUGUUACUUAAGCCGGUUCUUCGACGGUGUUCAAAUCAACGUGCAAACAGUUUACGAAUAAAGUGGUUUUCUUCCGCCGUGGCCCUUUUUGGAAAUUGUAAACGAAUUCCUGGUAGGAAAGCCAGCAGACAGAUCCUGUGGUUGAAAUUGUGGUGGAAUCAAAAUAUCUAACCCUGCACAUUGAAUCACAAGGUUGAAAAUAAUCCAGGUUAAAGAACCAGUAGUACAGGAAGAGUAAAAGUGCCAGAGUAAACAAUUAUUUUCCCACACAUAGAGCACAGAUGUAAACGAGUAGCCAAAUUCUUAGAAACUGGCGCACCCUAAGGAAAGGUUCACAUCCUGGCGUCAUCUGCAAGGCAGGAUGAAGAAAAAUAAGAAACGUAAGAAAUGUAUGAAUUUAGGAUGGGCGAAUUCGUGCUCCCCGCACACAGAUAGUUAAAUAGGGAAAACACGUGACAACGAUUAGGAGUGAUCACUAAUAUAUGUUGUAAUGUCUUAUUAAAUUGGACAAAGUGACGGUCAUUAAUGUAUACUAUAAACCGAAGCUGGUGAUCCUUGUCCAACAGACUUAGUUGCAGAUCCUCGUCGGGAAUGGUUCGCAGAAUGGUAGCAUCGCUUAGAAUAUUAUGAUGCUUCAUCGCUGGAGGACGACCAUGGAAGGCUGGCUAAAAGUUUUAAGGGGCUCCCUACUAAAUAAGACAUUAUUUUUACUAUAACCAACUUCAUAUUGAUGGCAUAAGAUCAUUGCAAUACAUAAAUUUCCUGCGGA